ensembl:snRNA U6 U6 spliceosomal RNA
GUGCUCACCUUGGCAGCACAUAUAUUAAAACUGGAAAGAUACAAAGAAGAUUAGCAUGGCUCCUGCAGAUGGAUGACAUGCAAAUUAGUGAAGCAUUUCAUAUUUCU